rnacentral:misc_RNA from 1 species
AACGCACACUGCGCCCCUUGGUAUUCCGGGGGGCAUGCCCGUUCGAGCGUCAUUACACCAAUCAAGCCUGGCUUGGUAUUGGGCCACGGGGGCGACCCGGGCCUCAAAGUCUUUCGGCUGGACGUCUCCAAUCUCAGCGUCGUGGUUAUUCAACUCGCUGUCGAGAGGGGGGGUCCGCGCCGGUAAACUCUUUCACCGGUUGACCUCGGAUCGGGUAGGAAUACCCGCUGAACUUAA